CCUACGGGAGGCAGCAGUGAGGAAUAUUGGUCAAUGGGCGGGAGCCUGAACCAGCCAAGCCGCGUGAGGGAAGAAGGUACAGCGUAUCGUAACCCUCUUUUGUCAGGGAACUAAUGCGGGUACUAGUCCCCGGAUGAGGGUACCUGCAGAAAAAGCAUCGCCAAGCUCCUUGCCAGCAGCCGCGGUAAUACGGAGUACGCGAGGGUUAUCCGGGUUUAUUGGGGUAAAGGGGUGAGAAGUCGGCCUUUUAAGUCAGAGGGAAAAGCCCGGGGUUCAACCCCUGCGAGCCGUUGAAACUGGCAAACUGGAGUGUGUGAGAGGAUAGUGGAAUUCCAGGUGUAGGAGUGAAAUCCGUAGAUAUCUGGAGGAACAUCAGUGGCGAAGGCGACUAUCUGGCACAUAACUGACGCUGAGGAGCGAAAGCGUGGGUAGCAAACAGGAUUAGAUACCCUUGUAGUC
rnacentral:rRNA from 1 species